rnacentral:rRNA from 1 species
CAUGAAGCUGGAAUCGCUAGUAAUCGCGGAUCAGAAUGCCGCGGUGAAUACGUUCCCGGGUCUUGUACACACCGCCCGUCACACCAUGGGAGUUGGAAAUGCCCGAAGUCAGUGGCCCAACCGCAAGGAGGGAGCUGCCGAAGGCAGGUCCGGUAACCGGGGUGAAGUCGUAACAAGGUAAC